CCAGUGGAGAUGAGUGCUGUGGCCAGUACCCCAUUCAUGAGGGAAAUGGACCUAGAGAGAGAAAUGUGAGCCCAGUCAGUGGAAUGGAGAACAGGUCGGAUGGGUCUUACUUCCUCACCCUGAAGGUCUGGGAGCCACAGAGUUCCAUGUGUGACUGAUGGGUCUCCAUUGUGCCCUAAAGACGGACUUUGGGCUUAUAGCCAACCUGUGGAAAUUUUUUGGUGCCAUGGUGUAGGAGAAUAUGGAACCCAAAACCAACACAACAACCAUACCAGGACCACCAACAUCUUACUCGAACAAGAGACUCCCAUACCAAAGGAUCCUGCUGGACAGUCCUCCGGAUCCCUCCCCUGGGGCCACCAUGGGGCUUCAGGCAGCCAGUGUACCUUGCUCCCCUGGCUGUCUGCCCUGACUAGAAGAAGCCAUGGGAGCUGCUCCAGGAAAAGACGGCGUUCCAGCCAUCUUACUCCCCACUAGGCCUUCUGGAGUGUGGGGGCAGAGGAAGACGAGGUCACACAAGACGGUGCCUUUGCCCAUCAACCCUGGCAGGGACGGAGGCCCUGAGGAGGCAAAAAGCUGCCAGAAUCAGGAGGGGAUGCGUGGCAGGGAGCCAUAGUGAGCCUGAAAUCAAGAGGAAGCCUGGAGGGUUGUAACCCAGCCUGCCCCCAGUCUGUGCCCAAGGAUAAAGGGUAGCACAUCUUGUGGAGAGCCUGACAGACUGGCAGAGGAUAACACACUGAAAGACCAUCAUUCUUUGUUCUUUGGUUGCAAAGAGGGGGCCAGAGCCCAUGUGUGUCAUGAAAGAAACAGGCCCAAACCUGCUGUUGUGUGGGUAGGGGGCUACCCUGGGGUCCCAAGUUGGGACUACAGAAGAAAUGGGAGUGCUGUAGAUAGCAUCUAGGGAAGCUGCAUCAGCAGCCCUGGGCUGGGCACACUCAUCUAUCGGGGCCAUGAGGAAAUCAUCCCCCAUGAAGUAGGAAAACACACAUCCACACAAAAGUGCCCAGUCACAAGGGUGAAAGGUCAGAAGUUACUCAUGAAUCCACUGAUCAAUGAAUGGAUGGAUACAAUAGGUCCAUCACUAUAGGGGAAUAUUACUCAGCCAUAAACAGGAAGGCUCUCCUGAACACACCAUCUCAUGGAUGCAGCUGGAGGACACUGUGGACAGUGAAAUAGGCUAGGCAUGGAAGAACAAAUCUUGUAGGACUCUAUUAUGCAAGGUCCCCAGAACUGUCACAUUCAGAGACUGAGAUAGGUUGGGGAUUUCAGGGGUGGGUGGGGAGGGGAGAGAGAGCCACAAAUAAAGGGUACAGAAUUGUUUAGGGUGCAAUAUAUGUUCUCAGAUCACUCAUAGUGGCAGGUACACAACUCUAGCAACACACCAAGGCCAUAGAAUUAUAUCCCCUGAGUGGGUGGAUUAUAUGGCAUGUGAACUACAUCUAAAUAAAGCUGCUGAUAAACAGAUAUGAACGUCCCAAGACCAGAACUCCUCUGUCCCCAAGGUUAUGUGAGGAAGGGGACCAUCAUAUCCCCAG
rnacentral:lncRNA from 1 species